rnacentral:lncRNA from 1 species
UAAAUUUCAAUUAUAUAAAAACAACUGUAAUUGCACGGGUUUGAUCUAAGCUAUAAUUCUAUAAAUAGGGAACUGCAAUCUCUAUUUUUCUUCAUCUCAACUCAUAGAUUCCUCUCUGCUUCUUCGAAACAAGUUUUCUCAAACUUCUUUUUUUGGUAGAAGAAUCGAAUCGAUCGAUAUGUCUGGCUGCGACCAAAGGUAAUCAGAAUCAUUUCAUAUCAAUCUUUUUAUUAUAUCAUAGAAAUAUUGCUACUAAAAUUAUAUUCGUAUUAAUUUUAUUUUACGUGCAGCAACAUGGUUAAUGGAUGCAAGUGUGGAUCAAACUGCAGUUGCGGAACCUGCAACUGCUAAAAUAUAAUCAUGUAAUCUGGCUAUAAGUAUAAUAAAAGUUGGAUGGAUUGAUUUUAUGAUUGAUUUUAUAUGUAUGUGUGAUAUGUAUGGUUUGAUGCGUUUGUGUUUGGAAAUCCCAAACGUUGUAUAUGUAAAAUAAAUCAAAAAGUUGAAUUAACAAAUUACAGAUUUCUAAUUUAUACAUAGACGUAAUAGGUGUGAUUAAUUAAGAAGAAUCGGAGCUCCUGACUCGUUGAUCUCUGGGCUUCGAGGUUCAGUUCCUGGCUAAGUGGCUUUUGGAUUGCGUGUCAAACAUGAAAUAAUUGUAACAGAUCAAUUCAUAAAAAAACGUGAGUUAAGUGAAGAACCACAAAUGAGAUCUGAAAUUCUUAUGUUUUGACUAAUGCGUGACAGAACUUCUCUUACAAAAACGCUUGAGAAUCAGUAAGAUCUAAGGGGCUUGUGGUCAACCUAACUGAAAGAAUAUGGGUAUCCGACAUCCUCAAGCACGACAUGACCCUAUGGAGAGCACACUGGGAGUGGAUCACAACCAACACAUAGUUGGCCGGCCAAAAGGGGUACCUUGGACACCGAUUGAGAACUAUGUAGAGGACCGAAGAGUCACAGAGUCAUUUGUUUUACCUUUGUGACUACGCAUCAGAUACAUGGAGGAGGUACAUCAAAGAGAAGUUGUCGAAAGUAAUAGACGAAUAAGACACAAACUUCUCUCAAAUGAUGAAUAAGGUUGAGAGAAGGAUGAGAGGAAGCAAGUGUUGGAGAAUCACAUGGUCAAUUGUUGUUGCCACCACAUGGGCACUGUGGAAGAAGAGAAACAAGCGUAGGCACGAGAGGAAGUUUACUAUGCCGUACUCUUCGUCCAGGUCCUGGUAUCACCAAUAUCUAUGUUUUUCAAUUUGCCCACAUAUAAAUAGAUUAUAUGUGCCACUAAUUAAGGUUAUCAAAUUGCUUCUUUCAAACAAACUCCAAACAAGUGAUUAAUCCCUCUAAUAUUUAUUUAAACAAUAUAUAUUAUAACUUCAAUUGGAAGCUAAACAUGUUUGACUUUGAACGCAAG